rnacentral:rRNA from 2 species
UUAAAUUGAAGAGUUUGAUCAUGGCUCAGAUUGAACGCUGGCGGCAGGCCUAACACAUGCAAGUCGAGCGGAAACGAGUUAUCUGAACCU